rnacentral:rRNA from 1 species
GACAGAGGGUGCAAACGUUGUUCGGAAUUACUGGGCGUAAAGCGUGCGCAGGCGGUUUGCUAAGACAGGUGUGAAAUCCCCGGGCUUAACCUCGGGAACUGCGCUUGUAACUGGCAAGCUAGAAUGUGGCAGAGGGGGGUGGAAGUUCCAGGUGUAGCAGUGAAAUGCGUAGAGAUCUGGAGGAACACCGAUGGCGAAGGCAGCCCCCUGGGCUAACACUGACGCUCAUGCACGAAAGCGUGGGGAGCAAACAGG